GACGAACGCUGGCGGCGUGCUUAACACAUGCAAGUCGAACGGACAGGCCCUGCUUUUGUGGGGUGCUCGAGUGGCGAACGGGUGAGUAACACGUGAGUAACCUGCCCUUGACUUUGGGAUAACUUCAGGAAACUGGGGCUCAUACCGGAUAGGAGCUCCUGCUGCAUGGUGGGGGUUGGAAAGUUUCGGCGGUUGGGGAUGGACUCGCGGCUUAUCAGCUUGUUGGUGGGGUAGUGGCUUACCAAGGCUUUGACGGGUAGCCGGCCUGAGAGGGUGACCGGCCACAUUGGGACUGAGAGACGGCCUAGACGCCUACGGGAGGCAGCAGUGGGGAAUAUUGCACAAUGGGCGGAAGCCUGAUGCAGCAGCGCCGCGGGCGGGAUGACGGCCUUCGGGUUGUAAACCGCUUUCGCCUGUGACGAAGCGUGAGUGACGGUAAUGGGUAAAGAAGCACCGGCUAACUACGUG
rnacentral:rRNA from 1 species